UGCACAAAUUUGAAGUGACCCUGGCUAAACCUUGCUGCCAACUUCUCUUAGAACUGUGCUGUUUCAUGAUUCUCCUAAACCACCCUAGGAAAAUCACACCCACAACUACAACACACCUCCAACAAUUAAUCCUGGGUCUGUUUUCCCACGCAGGCAUGUUGACUUCUAUCAUUCUCAAACUAAGUUGUAGCAUUCCUCCAGCCAUGUAUAAAAAUUGCCACCUGUGAGGUGACACUCAGGAGAUGCCUUUUGACAAUUGGGCACACAUGCCACCCAAGAGGAAUUCUUUUCUUUCCUUUAACCACUGACCUAGUCCCUAUGGACCAGGCGGCCCGUAUUCCACCAAACCCAGUUUACCAGGUCUAUAUGGCUCAUCCUCUAGGCGAGAUGCCCUCUUUUUCCUCAAAUUCUGGAGUCCAGUGUGAACGCCACGUAAUGGUCAUUUCGAUUUCCUUCGGCGCCGGAGAGGUAAAGAUCAAGAUUGUAUUUGCUUCUAGCUUCGCCGGCCCCGCACCGCCUCUAGGCCCUUGAAAACCUCGGCGUCCAUGCCAGCCUCCGGUGCCCACAAUGGAAUCCGAUACGCGCAGCUUUAGAGAAGCUUUUUUUCCCCCUCCCCCAGCUCCACCCUCACCUGAGCUUCCACCUUUCCCAGAGGGCUACCCGAUCCGGCUGCGAAUAAUGAAUCCCGAGGAUCACGUACAAGGCCAUCUUUCUGGUGUGGUACACAAGAAUAAGUCCAUGGAGUACAAGUAGUCCUGAACUUAUAACCAUUCAUUUGGUGACUGAAGUUACACGGAAAUUGCAAAAAGUGACUUAUGACUGGUCCUUACACAAACAUCACAGUCUCCUCACAAUGGUGAUUAAAAUUAGGGUACUUGGCAACAGCUGAGUUUCGUGCUCCGCCUGCUAUACUCACUGGAGCUGCCUGAGUUGAUUAGCUGCAUGUUUGAAGCUCUGUUUCAGCUCUGAAGAGGCGCCUGUGAAUGAAGUAUGUGCGCAUGCGCAUGCUCACAACCAUCAAACCAGUUGUUAAGAUAAUUGUCUAGACCAAGAACACAACUUCUCUGAACCUUUUCACCUGUAUUUUGUUCGACAGAAGACCCUUUUGAAUUGUUUGAGAGGAGCAGUCUUGGAUUAUGCUUCUAUACCUAGUAAAAGUAAAAUUUUGGUAGGUUCUUAUCAGCUGUACUAGGUAAAACAGACCUAGUCAAAUCAACUCUACAGGUUGCCUAAAAUUACUCAAAAUUAUUGAGAUUGGCUAGAACAAUAGACUCUUGCAAGCCUGACUUAUACUGUACUUCAAUGAAUUCGGGAGGCAUCUUCCUGAGCCAAUAUCAAAUGUCAUUCUGGACUUUAAAAAUACUAGAAUAAUGGUUCCUGUAUAUUUUUGUAAAGGUGAUCUUUCUUAGUCUCUCUAGUUUUGCUGCAUCAGAUACCCUUUUUCCCCUAAACUGUUUGCUACAGCUGCCUCUCACAAAAUCUGAAUGACAGGUGUGGGUGUGCGCGGUUAGAUUAGAAUUGCAAAAAUUCAUUCAAUCAGUAGAUGGCAGCAAAGAGCUAUAUAAAGUUUAAAUUCUAAACCGCUAUCACACUGUGGUCACCUCUUUUUUUUUUUUUUUUGCUUUGGUUGGUUAAUGUUGGGUAAUUCUAUAGACUCAAUCUCCAAAGGAUGCCCACUCACUUUGAAAGUUUUGGGUCACCAAUCUUAGUGUAUUAUGUGAAUGACCAAAUGUCAACUUUGCUCUUAUUUAGUAAACUAAGAUUAAAUAAAUCAUUAGGGCUAUGCAGUACUUUGGAUUUGAUCUGCAAAGAUGUUUUUGAGCUGGGGACAUUCACAAAACGGCCACUUAUUAUGAUAAAUACCGACUACUGAAAAACAAAUUGGUGAUAGUGCUUCCUCCCACUGCUUAUCACCUACUAUGUUUUUCAAGUCUGGAGUUGAAGUCAAUAACUUUCUUUCCCUGCUACUUUCCAACAGCCAAUAUUUAAGCCCUGCUACCUGUAACGGAUAAACACCAAUCCCCCACAACAACUCUCUGCCUACUCACCUAAUGAGCCCAUCUAGAUUAGGUGACCUCCCUGUAGGACAUAUAUGGAAUCCCCCUAACCAGGUUGCUCAGACCAAAGAAGCUACUUGGAUAAGCAGCAAAAUGCUUCGAGCCAACAAGAAAAGCAAUGCAGUUGCCAUAACUCAGAUGCCAGACAACUCUACCAGGAUGAGUGAGAAUCUUCACUGGUAUGUUGCCACACAUUUUGGGGAAGAAACCCUGAGGCAGGUGCUGGAAUAUGAAAAGACAGCAAAAAUGUGGCAGACUACAGGAAUCACCUAUGCUUCAAGUGCAGACAACAGAGUCUCAUCCCAAUGAAACUAUGGCUGCAAUCCACGGUCAAGGAUUGGUUACAGAGAAGACAAGAUCCUACAGAAAGCGGAAGGACAUUUCCUUGAUGAAAGGAUAAGACAGGUCUACUUCACCUUUGACAUCUUGCAACACAAAUGCUCUUUUUGCAGCAACUGCUCACUGAUUGACAUUUCCAUUGAGAUAUGGCUUCAAAAUCCUCUUCCUGUUUUGUCACAGCCAGUAAAUAUCCCAUCAAUGUAUAGGUGAAGUUUCCUUCCUUUGUACCAACAUGGAUCUCUUUACAUUUGUUUACAAUGAACUACUUGCAUUUGCCAUUCUAAAGUCUGUGCAUCCAUUUUGGACAGAUUUUUUAGAAUGUCUUUGCAAUCCCUUUUAAUUUUACUACCCUGAAGAUAUAGUAACAUCAGCAAAAAUGACGAGGGGUGGCUCAUGAGGUGGAGUGGGGUGCCGAUCGGCAGGCUUGCAUUCGAGACCCAUUGCUGCCAUGGGGUGGGCAGGGUGAGCUCCCUUUACACGUUACAGCUUCUGCCGAUCCAGCAGUGGAAGUGGGCGACCAAGAGUAGAUAGAUGGGUACCACUUUGGGGACCAACUUUAUGAGGACACGAAAGGAGCCCCCAACUGGGCGUCCACUGGGCAACAGUGAAGUCACCGGCAAAUCCUUCCACCACUGAAGUGCUUCCAACAUAGAAAUAGUAGUAGUAGCAAAGAUGACCAAACGUGAUAUUAUGAAAAAGUAUGGUAUGGUAUGGUAUUUGAAUGUAUAUCAUUAAUUGGUCAGAAUUGUCUAAUUAGU